GCCUUCGUGGUGUAAUGGUCAGCACGCUCGGCGCGUAUUCGAGAGGUCCGUGGUUCAAGUCCCGGCAAGGCCA
rnacentral:tRNA from 1 species